CGACGUAAAGAACUUGCCUCACAGCUAGGGACAACAUUUAGAAAUGAAUGCUAAUACCUGAUAUUAUGAUUUUAAGGCAUCUUAGAAUUAUGAAAGCUAUAAGCACUGUGAGAGAGCUUUGCGUCCCAUUAGCUAGUUGGAGAGGUAACAGCUCACCAAGGCGAUGAUGGGUAGCCGGCCUGAGAGGGUGAACGGCCACAAGGGGACUGAGCCACGGCCCUU
rnacentral:rRNA from 1 species